AAAGGGAAGAAAGGACAGCCCCAACACCUGGAGCCGUUGUGGCUCCGGCCGGUUGCGCCGGCCCUCGGGCCCUCAGGGAGGCGAGGGUGCGAGGGCAGAGGAGUCCCUCCCUGUGUCCACCACCAUCACAAGCCCAAGGCAAGUACUGCUAGAGGGCUGCCUAUGAUCAGAUCUUCUGAGAACAUCAGAGAAAGACUGUCCUUGCAAUCUACACUACAGCAAAACUUCAGGACCUUGAACUUCAGGUUCAUAAUCUCACAACUGAGAAGGAUCCUUCCACACUCUUGGAACAGUGCACCCAUUGGAACUCUGAAGGUUAAGCUCACCAGGAAAGUUUCUCUCCAGAAGAAGAUAACACCCUUAAUGUGAACAGCUUUUCCCAAAAUCACGGAUUGAAACUUCUCUACAAUCACAAGACUCUUAUCUUUGAAUAUUUUCCCUUGGUUAUGCUUCUGUGAACAAUAGACGUGAAAAGGGAGUCUGUUGUGUGCACUUACGGGGCACACUUUUAUGUGUGAAGGAUUUUUCAGCCAGCCUUAUAUAUGGAUGACCUUAUAGUUUAAGAGAUAAAAGACAAAGACCCAAUGCAGUGUAUUUUUUAUUCUGUGUUCAAAGAUCACCAAUGAGAUUCCCAGUUGCCAAAUCCAAUCUUUAGUUUUCAUCUUAGUUCCUCUGAGCAACAUCUGAAAAAGAUGGGCUGGAUUUGAUGACUUUCUUCUAUCAAAUAGAAUAUGACAGAAGUGAUGACUAACAAAAUGAUAUUUGUGUCCAGAACCAGUUAAAGAGCUGUGGCAGUUCUAAGAAACCUGGACCCCCACCAAGCAGUCCACCAGCAUGUAGACCUCAGGAAAGAGAGAAGAACUUUCUGAACUUUCUGAAGAAGCGACAGUUGAUCUGUAGUCUGCUUAUCAGAUACUAUGCUAAGAAAAGAAUCAUAUUUUCUGCAUAAAAAGAAAGGAGAAUGGUUUGAAAAUGGUAAUGAGGAGAAAGAAUGACACUGACACCAGCUCCAGGUCCCAUGGAAUGAAAUCUAUGGUGGCAGAUUGGUACCAGUCCGUGGCCUGUUAGGAACCUGGCUGCACAGCAGGAGGUGAGUGGCAGAGACCCAGCAUUACUGCCUGAGCUCCGGUUCCUGUCAGAUCAGCGGCAACAUUAGAUUCUCACAGGAGCCCGAACCCUACUGUGAACUGAACAUGCGAGGAAUCUAGGAUCUCAUGGCCUUUGUUGACAAUGUGAAUAAACCUUCCAAACAUGCACACAGUUAAUCAUCUAUGAAAUUUUUUUUUUUAAGUGGCUGCAUAAGAAAUGUUAUAUUAUGUCGUCUGGACAUGGUAGCUCACAUCUGUAAUCCCAGCACUUUGGAAGGCUAAGUUUCUUGUUCUGUCACCCAGGCUGGAGUGUAGUGGUGUGAUCCUAGCUCACGGCAGCCUUGAAUUCCCAGGAUCAAGUGAUUCUCCCACCUCAGCUUCUGGAGUAGCCGGGAAUACAGUGUGCACGCUUAAGACCACUCGCCCAACUCCUGAGAUCUCAUCAGGAAGCUGCUGAUCACCAACCUCAGGUAUUUUCCAUCUAUUGUGAGACUGCUUUUUCCUGGCACUGGCUACAAGCAAGUAGUCUUUAGAGACACAAUUUAUCAACCAACUGACCAUCACCUGAUGGUUACCUGACAUACCUGUGGGUGAUGAGGGAGGCCCUCUCCUGCCUUGCACAUGUCUGCCUGGCUACCUACUCUAACAAUCCCACUUUUCUCAUACAAUUAAUAUAUAGAAUUGUUUUUCUUAUAUUUAUAAUCUCAAUUACAUAUAUUAAUUUU